UUUUUAUAAAUUGUAUAGUGAAAUUGUCACCAGAAAGAAGCCACAGCAAAACUGGAGAGAACAAGGAGAGAUGGAGAACAAACUGGAAGAACCACAAACCCGUGAAUCAAGACACAUAGUGAAAUGCACAAGAUAUGACAGCAUGGUUUAUGUAAAACCAGAUUUCUCUAAUGAUCCAGUCAAACCUGAGUCUAAUUCUGAUGUACCUGAGACAGCUCAAGAUGAGGUGAUCACAAAUCACUAACAUCUCCCAGGACCUGAAGUGGGACAUUUAGAAAAAAGCCCAGCAGAGGUUGUACUUUCUUCAUCACCUGAAAAAGUUCAAUCUACCACAGGCACUGAUGACACAGUUUUACUCAGCUGUCACUGAGUCAGUUCUGUGCUCUUCUAUAACUGUCUGGUUUGGGGCAGCCAGCAAAUCAGAUAUAAGAAGACUGCAAUGGACUUUUAGGACAGCAGAAAGGAUCAUUGAUGUGCACCUGCCCAACCUUCAGGACUUGUACAUCUCCAGAGUGAAGAAACAGGAAGGAAACAUCAUCCAAGACUCCUGUCACCCCAGACACAACCUGUUUGCACUUCUCCCCUCAGGCAGACGCUACAGAUCCCUGAGCACUAGAACAUCUAGGCAUAAAAACAGCUUUUUCCCAAUUGCCAUCUCCAGCUUAAACGGCUAAAACAUUAAUCAUUACCUGUGUUCUACAAUCCAUUCUGUAUUUUUCUCCAUUCUGAUUGUUGUCUCUGUCUGUAGUAUUAUUAUGUAAAUAGA